AAGUAGGGGGCAAGCGUUGUCCGGAAUGAUUGGGUGUAAAGGGCGCGUAGGCGGCCUGGUAAGUCUGGAGUGAAAGCCCCGCUCUUAAUGUGGGAAUUGCCUUGGAUACUGUCGGGCUUGAGUGCAGGAGAGGUAAGUGGAAUUCCCGGUGUAGCGGUGAAAUGCGUAGAUAUCAGGAGGAACACCGAUGGCGAAGGCAGCUUACUGGACUGUAACUGACGCUUAGGCACGAAAGUGUGGGGAGCAAACAG
rnacentral:rRNA from 1 species